AGAUAAAAUAGUAUACACAUAUUGAAUUUUAGUCACUUUGUUUUUCAUAGUCAUAUGGGUUAGUAAUUCCAAAACAGCUUCUGGGCAUUUCAGGAUCAAGCAAAUAAAUAAAUUUAUUGAGGCUAAUGGGUCUCAGGUUUCUCCCUUUUGGAGAACUGAGUAAACAAAUAUGUAGAGGGCUGACAUUAAGAUGAACCCUGUGGUAUGAAGUGGAAUUGGAGGUUUCUGUAUAAAUCCAUAAUUACACACAUGUAUAUGUCAUUCAUAUAUUUCCUAGCCUUCCCUCCUGAGGGGGCCUGGGAGGAACAUGCCUCCGUACCAAUGAGCACCCAGAUCUUGAGUUCCAAAUUCUACCCUAUAAUAAAAUGUCUUGAAGAAAUGGAUCCCUUAGAGAAAAGACAGAUCCAAGUGUUGUGGCAAGUAAAAUACAAGUGAUUAAUGAGAGA
rnacentral:lncRNA from 13 species